CCUCAACUUCUUAACUCUGUUAACACCGCAAAAUCGCUUGGAUGAUACACUACUCUUCAAUCCCAUAAUACCCAAAUCAUAACUCCUCUGAAACUUCAACUGGGCCAUCAAGUUCUCCUUACUUUCUAACUCUUGGCUUGAGCCUAUUCUCAAAGCAACAAGUUCAAACCCACGCUCGGAGUCCUCAUGGUCGCUCAACCAUGAUCCUACCGUACAUGCACAUAAUAUUAGGUUGAUCAGGCCCAUACUAUAUACAGUGAUUAGAAGCAAUUGUUGGCUAAACACACAUUUGAGGCAGGAAUAGAUUUACUUAUGAUUUUCAAGGCUAGGUCGAGAAUCGACCUGCUCUGAUACAACUGUAACAACCGUAUAAUAUAUAUCUAGAAUAAUAUCAUUACAAGUGUUUAAUUUUGGUACUGUCACAACAUAGUGCCUAAUAGCAUCAAUAUAUAUACAUGUCCAAACAAAACAUGCAUGGAACAUGUUUUAUCAAUAAUGCCUAAACAAUAAAAAAAAAAAUCUAGAACUAUGUACAAUAUCUUCAUUGCACAUUAACUCACAGCGGAAGAUCAUACAAUGAACAGCAACCCUUGAAACAUCCAUAAUAGUUUCUCUUGAUCCAACCUGAUAAGACAUACCUGAAAAAUAACAACAAUGAUGGGAUGAGAUAUACUAUCAUCGUGAGUUCUCCUACUCCAUUGGGUCACUCGCGCUCAUCUACAGGUUUAAUCAAUGUUCAAUCAUAUCCAACUCAAGUCAACAAGGGAACGAAGACUUGAGCGAUGGGGAACUAUCUCGCAAUGUAUGGCAACAUGCAUCUGAGUUCUCAUACUCACACGAUCAUUUUUCAGAUUCACGCAACACGAUCCCCACCGGACCUACGUCUAGGCCAAGCUUGGUUCACGCAUUCCGUUAUGAUUCGACUUUCGCGGUGGAUAUCCGGUUCCCCUAUGUGACUUAACCACUUUAAGAACCAUCACCUGCUACGGGCACUCUAACCCACCUAGGGUAUCUUUCACCGUAUGGACUCUAACCCCAUAGUGUCCAUUCGCCCGUGUCCGCCAUGGUUGGGACUGCAAUCCAUUUCGAGGCUCGAUAUUGUCCCAUCCAAGUUCACGUUAAGCAUACCAAUAGGAUGAUUUGUACCUCACAGAAAAAAACACACAUUCCUGAUACAUGAUCGUUCCACAAAACAUUGGUUCGACGAACCAUAACCAAAUUCAUCAAUCAUAGGUGACUUCAUUCACCAUAUAUACACAAUAAUAAUAUAUACACAAAUAAUAACAUGGAUGUUCCAUACAAUGCGUCUCAUUCUCAAUCAUGGCAACAAUUCGCUCCACGACCUCACAUUAAGCGUCGUACGAAAUGAAUACCGUAUCUCAUACAUGUAUCUCACAUUUCCAUAAUCUAGAUUAUACUCUUCUAAGUUAUUAUCAAAUUAUUCUUCUAGGUUUCCUCCACUCAUCUUUGAUAAUUUUUAAUUGCUGUUUAUUUCACCUUCCACAAACAACAAUAUUCAAUUUUCAUCAUGAUAAAAUUCAUGGCAUUUAUAAUCACAUAAUAUUUUAUAACAUGGAACAAUAAUAAUAGCCCUUUACGUUAUCUUUCUAACGCAUCCGGCCAUGUCCAAACGGAGGUAUAAUACUCAAUUAAUUCAUCAAUCUACCUAAUCAAGAUUUAGGUUAAUAUUUAUUCAUUGCAUAAGCAUUCAACACAACCUCUCUAGCCUAGUGGUAAGGCAUGUACAGUUCCAGUGGAGGUCCUGGGUUCGAACCCCACUGCAGACAAAUUCUGCACAGACAGAAGAAUUUAACUCCAAUUUCCAUUAAUUCUCUCCGUUUCAAACAACCAACCAACACGAAGUUCAUAUAUUAAUCAUCAAUUUAACAAACAUGUAUAUAUAUAUAUCAUAAAUUCCUAACUCCCAAUUUCAUGAAUUUAUCCCAAAGCUAUAACUAAACUAAGAACUCACCUAGAAGAAGAACGAAUGAAGUUGUGGAUGAUGAAGAUGAGAUGAUGGUGGUGGUGGCUCCUUCCUCUUUUUCCUUUCUCUUUCUUUCUCUUUCUCUUUUCCUCUUCUCUACUCUUCCUUUCUUCUUUUCUUUCUUCCUGAUAACCCUUCACUCUCUUACCCACUUCUCUUCUUAUCUUUUUCUUCUUCUUUCUACACCACACAACUAUAUAACAUAUAAAUAUAUAUAAUAUAUAAUAUUAAGUAGUCACAUAAAAUAUCCCAAGUGAUUAUUCAUCUUCCAACACCAAUUGACCAAUUAUUAAUGUACCAAAGAUGCCCUCUCUUGUACUUAUUAAUAUUGGUCUGUCUCUUUUAUUAAUAAUUAAUCCCUUCAGAGUUCACCGUUACUCUAUUGGUCCCAAUUGACAACAUUUAGAGCACAUAGGAGCUCCAAUGUUACAAAUGAUAAUAGGUAAUUUACAUAGAGGACUCAAUGAUCUCAACUGAUAACUAAUUGAUCAUUUAAGGAAUAUGGAUAUUACAGGUUCCACUUUAUGAAUCCCCACUUUUUGUCAUGAGUCACCCUGUCAAGGGUUAGAGCUAUGAGGUCUUAUCCUCAUUACCUUUUGGUCUGCUCACCCUGACGCUCAAUGUCAGUGGUUUAAAUAGCCCAUUUGAUUACCUAUUUCCAUGCGCUGUUUGUCGAGGUUGAUAUGGACCCCUCUUGACUAAAGCCCUACCCAGUAUGUUUUAGCCCCCUUGUUGCGCAUGUUACUUUAUGCAUGUUUGUUUUGUAUGGUUGAUCGCUCUCCCAUAGGAUUGCUAGGCUUCGUAUAGUCUCUCGUUGCAUGUCAAUUAAGGUAGCACUGUUCCUUCGUCUAGGACUUCCUUUUACAGGGGCAUCCUAAAACACAAACAAACUCAUUGAUUUUUCUUCUCCUAAGAACACAUUAACUCCUUCUAUUACAGGCGAGUAAGUCUCUAAAGGUCGAGCAUCGGUAGAUUGGCUAUAACUGCAGUCUAGUCACGUCGUCAUCUAACAUAAACACAACCCUUAACCUAGGUGCCGAACUACAGUUUGCUUCUGAUUUCUCAUUCCAGAUGCAAUCCGUAGCAUAAACGCCGAUGCUUCGGCUUAGGAGCACAAACUCCCUUUAACCCAAUACGUAAGCCGACAGCUGACGAAAGAACUCAUGCCAUUCUCAUAUUCAGAUGAGAUACGUAUGCAGUGGAUGCGACAUCCGUGCGAGUCAUUUUCUUUUGACCCCUCUUUUAGUAAAUAGUACAUUAGAUAAACCCACACCCUUUAGACAAGAACAACAAGAGUGGAUCCCGUAUAGUACUACGUAUGAGUAGGGGUGCUAAUACCUUCCCUUCGCAUAAUCGACUCCCGAACCCAAGAUUUAGUUGCGAGACCUUGUCUUUUCCUUUCCUUUUUCCAGGUUUACUUCGAGCGUUUCCUUUCCCUCCUUUGGGAUAAAUAACGCACGGUGGCGACUCUUCUGUCAUUUCUUUCUCGCCGGUUAUUUUUUCGCAUUUCCUUUUUCAGGUUGCGACAAUCCUGAAUGUCAUACAAAUAGAAUUAAGUUGACCAGGCUCAAUACUAUGAAUAUAACAUUAAGGACAACGAUGACAACCCACAAAUGAGGCAGAAAGAAAUACUUAUAAUAUCUCAUGGAUAGGUCGAGGAUACAACCUGCUCUGAUACCAAUUGUAACACCCACAUAUAAUGUCUAGAAUACAUAUUAUACAUAGUGUAAUAUUGGUACUGAAAUACAUAAGCGCCUAGCGACAACAAUGUAUAUUUUACAUGCCCAAAAGACAACACUACAUGGCACAAAAUAUACACAAAAGUGCCCAAAAUAAACUAGGAGCUAGAUUAUUGUAGACUGAUCUCAAAAGUAUCUACACAACGGAGAAGCCAUCCAAGACACAAGGUAAGCAGGACAUCACUCUACCUUGUUCUUACCCUUCGCCUGAUCGAAACUGCCUAAAAAAUAAUCAACAACAUGGGAUGAGAUAAUAAUCCUAGUAAGUUCCCUAUCUUAUGGGUCCACCCGGCUCUACAGGGUUCUCUAAUCAAUAUCCAACUUAAGUCAACAAGGGAAAGAAGACUUAAGUGAUGGGGAACUAACUCGCAAUGUAUGGCAACAUGCUCCAGAGUUCUCUCAACUCAAAAUAAGAUCACUGUUCAGAUUCAAGAAACAUCAAUCCCUGAACGGACCUACGUCUAGGGCAAGCCCAGUUUAUGCAUGCUCGUAUGAUUCGACUUUCGUGGUGGAUAUCAGGUCCUCUAUGAGUUCAAAACUCAAUUCAAGCGACCGUCACCCGUAUGUGACUCUAACCCACUUAGGGUAUCUUUCACUGUAUGGGACUCUAACCCACUUAGGUGUCCACCUUUCCCCCAUGUCCCUCAUGGUUGAGGCUCAAACCCAAUUGAGGCACGAAUCAUUGGUAUCACAUCCUAUUGCUUACUCAUCUAAGCAUAUCAAAUAGGGAUGUGCACCACCAAGGGCAAAACAUUCUAAAUACGUGAUCGGUUCCACAAAGCAUAACAAGAUUCAUCAAUCAUAUGUGACUUUAUUCACCAAUAUACAAGCAAUAACAUUGCAUGUUCCAUACAAAGUGUCUCACUCUUAACUAUGGCAACCAUUCAUUUACGACCUCCACAUAAGCAUCGUACGAAUGAAUGUCACCUUCUAAUGUUAUCUAAAUUAUAAGUCUAACUUAUGGCCUAAUAUAAAUCACUAGGUUAACUCACUAGAUUCAAUACGUAAUUCUCACAUUUAACAUUGAUUCAAUACAAGUAUAACAUGACAAAUGGUUAAUGGUUGAUGAAAUGCACUUAGAAACAUUAAAGAAAUGAAUUUUGAAGUUUUCGGUAUAAGCCAAUCGAUUAGUUGGGGAAGCCCAAUCGAUUAGUUCAUCUUAUAUUUAUGUUUUUCAAAGAAUACAGAGGAUCAAUCGAUUGAUCCUCAAUUGGCACCUGAGAAAUUUCCAGUUUUCCAAAACAUAAAGUUUGUGCAAUCGAUUGGAGUCCCCUGUCAAUCGAUUGGUCCUGCAAAGUUUUCCUUUUCUUUAAAACAGAAAGUUUGUGUAAUCGAUUGGAGCUAAGGACCAAUUGAUUGGUCCCAACCCAUUUCCACAUUUUCACACACAAAACUUCAUUUCCUCUGUACCACAAAAUGGUCUUCAACCUGCAUAAUGUUUGCUUCACUUCUAACUACCAAUCUAUUGACAUGAACAUAACAACACAUCAACAAACUUCCAAACAACAACCACAUCAUUAUAUCACAAGAAUCCAAUAAACGCAAGAACACACAUAGAGAAAACAUCAAUGAGGAUUCACAUGAUUCAUAGAGAAAUUCAUCAUAAUAUCAUCUAUCUUACUAUCAAUUCCAUGAUUUAUCCACCCUAACUUCUAAGUCUAGAGCUCUACCUAGAACCCACCUUAAGAAUGAAAGAGGAGGUUGAAUAAGAUGAUGAGACGAGAUGGUGAUGAAGUGAUGAUGAUGGAUUCUAAGUUUUUCUUCCUCCUUCUUCUUUCCACUAGCUUGUUUCCUCUUCUUAUCUUGAGCUUCUUCUUCCUUCCACUAGCUUGUCUGAUACACAGAGAAAAUGAAAUGGUACAAGGGUAGUUGGUAAGAGACCACUAGUGAGAACAUGUGGACAACAAGCCAUGAAGCGUUGCGUGGUUAGAAAGUGGGUAGGAGUAGUAGAAAGAAAUAUCUUGAGUGAUACCACACUUAGAUAAUUGUUCUACCAGAGCUAUUGACUCAUUAUUAGUGUUAUCAAAAUGUCCCAAUUAAUAAAAGGUCAGUCCCAAUUAAUAUUAAUUAAGUCAAUCUGAAUUCAUUAUUUACUCUAUUUAUCCCAACUGAUAACUUUUAGAGCACAUAGGAACUCAAAUAAUCUCAAUUAAUAGGAAUUUGAGUAUUUAAGGAAAUACGGGGUAUUACAUAAGGAGUCUUAGGCUUAGGCCUUGAGAAAAUCAGAGUCUUUUCAUUAUCCUCUGAGCUUUCGACUUCAGUCAUAUCUUAUGUGGGUUUUGGAGUAGCCUAUUGGAAAAAGAUUGUUUAGUUUUACUUCCAUCGAAGCCAUCAAAGGAGAAAUCAAAAUGCAUAUUUGUGUUGUGGUAAUAUUUUUGGAUUUCUUUUUCUUCUUGGUUUUGGUAGUUGCAAGGGAGUCGUGGUCGCGUUUUCGAUUAUGAAUAAAAAGCAAUGUUAGAACCAUUUCGAAGAUCGACUAAAUAUAAAGAAAGAAAAACUUGCCUUUUUCUGUUGACGUUCUUCUUUUUUCUUCUCUUCACCUGCAUUAGAGGGGCCUUCGGCAUUUGUGUCACCCUUUGUUGUAGUCUCAUCUCCAAUGGAAACAUGUGAGAAAUCGAAGGUAUUAAGGAAAAAAAAUUAAAUAAUUAAAUAUAUACCUAUUUUCUUCUUUGGGUUGUCUUGUAAGCUAGAGAAGGUAUUUGACAACCUUUUGUAAAAAAAUUGUUCAGAAAAGUGGUCUUGAAAGUAACUUGUCCAUCAUUUGUCGAAUUUCAUUGUUAGAAAUAAAGAUGGAUGGAAGUGGAAAGUAGGCAAUGAGAGAACUUGUUGAUGAGCGAACACCAUGCAGUCUCUAUAUUCCUUUGGAGUAAAAUUCCUGUAUGACUAUCAAAUGUCGUUCUCCCAAGAGUAGAGUGAGCAUGACAACGUUUGGCUAAAACCAAAUUGUCUAGCUAUUAGAUUGGGUUGAUAGCCAAUGAAGCCAAAGCCAGUGGUUCCAGUUUUAAUUUGAGUGGAAAUGAGUGUCAGAGUUAAAAAAGUUACCCAGACGGAGUUUGACAUUGCAACAGUUGAAGGGGUUACACCAGAUAAUUUGUUUCGAAACCAAGAUAGACCACAAGACCUAUCUACAAAAUGAGCCAUGGUCGAAAUGAAAGUUUUUGAUUCAAGGAAAAGGUUGAUGUAUUUCAUGAAGGUUAUCUCUGAGGGGUUUCCAUGAGGGGUAACUAUAGAAAGUCUGGUGCCUUCGAUGCUUCUGCAAUUGGUUUCUUCCAGCAAUGCUUUCGACUGAUUUACAUGCAACUUAGGUUCAAAUGCAACACUUAACCAGAGUUGUAAAAGUCAUAGAGGGACGAAGAUGAGGUAUAACUUGUUAUUUUUAAGGAGGUGUUUAAUUUAUAGGAAACAUUUCCAAGUGAUUGAUAUAAAUUGGCUAAAAGUAGCUUAGCCAAUGAUAUAUUUCAAUCUUCAUGAAGUUGGAUUGCUAGAGGGACAUAUUUUUGAGCUAUCUGUAAAGAACCUGAACAUAAAACAUAAUACGAGAGCCAAAGGGCCGAGAAGGCAAUGUGUUCUUGAUCGAAGACCUCUUUGUUUUUCUUGUCAUGGUGGUUGAUAAUGAAGUUUUUGAAGCUAAAACGUUCGAAAACAAAUUCGUGGUCAGUUUCUAUGGUGGGGGUAAAAAUUUCGCCAAGAGGGUUCAUUCCCAUGAUAGCUGCUACGUCGAUCAAGGUUGGAGUAACCAUUCCACAAGGGAACCGAAAAGUGUUAGUCAAACCUUCCCAAAAUAAAAUUGAUGCAAUAAGCAUGGUUGAGUUAUGCCUAGGGCCAAUUCUAGAGAUUUGAAUAAUAUCGAAUAUGCAUAGGUCUUCCCAUAACUUUUGUCUUUUGCUUUCAACUUUAUUGAGCCAAGCAAGAUACUCUUUGCUUUGGGUAGGAGGCGGAGAUUGAAAGACACACGCAAAUGUUUCCAUGAAGGAUAAGUCGAGAGGAUAUUCUUCGAACACUGAGGGAAUGGUGACAGGAUAACACGGGAAAAAAGUUCUUUACUUUCUCAGGUUGAGACUUAGCAAUUGGCUAUGGUCCUAAGAAUGCUAACAGUUUACCAGAAAGUGUAAAGGGAAUGAGUACCUAUUUUUGCCAAAUGGAGAUUUUCUCUUUAGCCAUUGGUGGUUCAGGAACGAAAUCCCUUCCUUCAUCAGUUUCUGAUGUGAAAAUCGUGUAAGCCAUUAGAUUCUUCAUAGUAUCAAAUUUGUUGGCUAAAGUGUUGGCUGCCAUUGUUGAAAUUUAAAGAGUUUGCUUUGAAACAAGGGUUUUUCUGUGUGUGAAAAGUUGAGAGUGAAAGUAAAGAGGAUGAGAAAAAAGUAUCAUGGAAGUAUUUAUAGAGUAGCUUACCUUCGCAAUAACAGACGCUUGACGGACACGUGUUAAUGUGAGACGUUUUGUGUUUCAAGAAGUGGAAAAAAUUGAUGUGAGUGAAGCAGUUAAUGAGACGUGCAAAAGCAUGAUCUUCUAGAAAAUAAGAGUAAUGAUGGGAUUCUUAGAGGAUUUUCUGGAAAAUGACAAUGCACAGUAAAAUGGUAAUGAUGAUGAUGACGCCAGCAAGGGAUUUAGAACAAUGUCGAAAAUACAUUCAAAAAUGUCACCUUUCUCUUUUUUUAUAUGAAAUUGAAACAUGGCAUUUUGGAGGACAAUUUUGUUAUCUCAAAUUUUUGACAUUAGCAUUAAAAUUACAAGAUUGUGAUAAGAAUCAUAUAAUAAUGGUUCGUGAAAAGGCAAAAUGGUUAAUGAUGGUCCUGAAGAUUUUGACGAAUUCGAUUUUUUGACAAGGAGUUUUUACUAUGAUCGAAAUUGUAGAUGGUCAAAGAUCAAGAAGUUUUAGGACUUAGUGAAAUUCAGAGUUUCCAAGAUAUUAUCUAUGUAGUCGAAUGAGGUGUAAAUGGAUAAGAUAAAACAAUUAUUCAGAGACACAUGGAAGCUUGUCGAGGACAACGAUUGCAUGGAGAUGAAGACGUGGCGUGUGUUGUUUAGUCGAUCGUUAACUUAGGAUUAAUAUACAAGUAGGACUUACUUUGAGUUUUAUGGGUCCGCAAUUGUAUGCAAAUUCUACAAAACUCAAAGUAUUUGUGUGAUUGAGAAAAAAGUCAAAAAUGUAAGUAUGUGUUCCUUUUUUUACAGAUUAAAGUAUUCAUGUUCAAGUCAUUUAAUGCAAUUAAAUUACCGUCACUUUAUCUUAAUUUCUUUUACAUUUCAAUUUCAGUUUAAAUUCCAGUCACUGUUCUCAAAUUUUUGCAUUUCAACAUUGAUGUUAAAAUUGUUCAAAACUUAUGAUUCAGGCAAAUAUGUCAUAGGAUCUUUUCUAGUUUAAUCCCAUAAGGAAAUUAAAACUUUGUUUUUGUUUACUAAACUUCACAGUAAACAACCUGUCGAUGACGUACCGCCGUCGCCUCCUACAACUGACACUGGUGACUAACUGCGCCUCCAGAUGAUUGCAGUUAUUAUGGAUAACCUCAUGGAUUUGGUAAACCCAGAUGAUGAGGUUUAUAUUGGAUUAUCUCGUGCUGCACACGUUGCCCGUGGGAAGCCUAUUUAGACAUUAUUGUUACCUUUAUGUAUUAUUUGUAUAUUACAUGUAACAUUACUCAGACAUCUUCAUCAAAACUUUUUAUUAGAUAAUAUUUUUGAUCUUCCAUUGAUGCAACAUCAACAUAAACUAACAUUUGACAAUGAAUUACAUAACUUAAAAAAAAGUUGAUAAAUAAGAAAACUUAGACACUCCUAGAUAAUUAUGGAUGUUUCAUCAUCUUAAUUAUACCAUCGACAUACCUUGAAAUCUUAACAUUUAACUCGAUCGGUCCCUUUGUUAACAUACGACAAAAUGAUCUUCACACAUCCUUCACAUCUUCACUGGUCUUCAACUCAAUAAGGUUGUGUUUCACCCUUCCAUCAAUAUCAAUCAAAUCUUCACGAAACUCGAUCAAUAUCGAUAUUUCUGUUUUCAGUAUCAAGCAACAAUUCAUUCAACUUGGACUUCAAGACGACGAUAGACGUGGUGUCAUUGGGAAACUAGAACUCUACGAGAGGUGAAACUUCAUUGAAGUACACUUUUUCCUUAAUAAAAAAUAAAGAAAUAUGCAUUUUGAGAUGUUUGUAUCAAACAAUAGCUGACCCCUAUUUAUACAAAUUUGCAUUUAUUUUGGACCACACAAAACUGUCGGUACAAUCACAACCGUCCAAAACUAUCGGCAAAAUCCUAAGCAAUUAAAAUUUCAAACAAAUAACACUAUCGAAAAUUUUACUUAUAUUAUAAUUUUAGAAUUUUUGAUAUUAUUUGUAAAUGUCCAAAUUUUUUAUAAAUUUCCCGACGUAUUAAAAAUUUAAAAUACACAAUUAAAAAUUUAAUUUGUACUAAAAAUUCUGAUUUUCCUAUCGAAAACUUUGCAUAAAAAUUUGAUCUAAUUUUUUGUCAUAAGGAUAAGGAGGGUAGCAAAUUAAAUUCUGAAGAUAUGGGUUUAUCCGUAUCAAAUAAAAAUAAAAAUAACUAAAUAAAUAAUAAUAAAAAAGGGAAGUAGGUUGUGUACGUGGAAGCAGCGAAUUCAUAAUUUAUUUGUGGAUUGAUUUCAAAGUUACGUGGUCGAAAUGAUCGGUUUGAAGAUGAGGGAAUUCCAACUGGGAUUACAGAAGAACACACACGGCCCGCUUCAUUAUGCUACUUUAGAUUUUGACCAAUAACAAUGAGCUCAACGGUUAUUGUGUACUCAAACCAUACUCCUUUUGGAUUUCAACGGAAGCUCAACCCUCAUCGCCGCUUUCUACUACUAACUCCCAGGGCUACUGCUCCAAAUAACGACGAUGAUAAACCACAGCAGUCGCUUAGUCUCGACGACGUCAACCCGGUGGGACUGGGUCGAAGAUCGCGACAGUUAUUCGACGAUGUUUGGAGAAAAUUCUCUGGAUUGGGUCAGAUUUCUAGGACGAUCCGCACCGAUGAUCAGGACACCCUAGAUGCUCUUCUCGUCCGCGAAGGUCCUAUGUGCGAGUUUGCAGUUCCCGGCGCUCAGAAUACGACGGUUCUCGUUGUUGGUGCCACCAGCCGCAUCGGCCGCAUCGUUGUUCGGAAGCUCAUGCUCAGGGGUUACACCGUCAAGGCUUUGGUUAGGGAGGCAGAUAAAGAGGUGGUAGAGCUUCUUCCAAGGUCAGUAGAGAUAGUGAUUGGGGAUGUUGGUGAUGCUGCCACUGUCAAGGCUGCCGUACAAGACUCUAACAAAAUUAUAUAUUGUGCCACUGCCCGCUCUACUAUUACAGCGGAUCUCUUCAGGGUGGAUCAUCAAGGAGUUUAUAACAUGACUAAAGCAUUUCAGGAUCAUAAUAAUAAAUUGGCUCAGUUGCGAGCGGGCAAAAGCAGCAAAAGUAAGCUUACCGUUGCUAAAUUCAAAACUGAAUCUUCACUCAAUGGAUGGGAAACUCGCCAAGGAACUUACUUCCAAGACGUUCUUGCCACAAAAUAUGAUGGAGGGAUGGAUGCCAAAUUUGAGUUCACUGAGAAUGAACAAGCUGUUUUCUCAGGUAUUUUUGGGUAGGAUAUCAAUGAACAACACCAGUAGGUUUUGCAACAUUAUACAAGUACACAAAUUCUAUUUUUACCCCUAUAUUUUUAUUUUUAUUUUAGGGUAUGUCUUCAAUAGAGGUGGUUAUGUAGAACUGUCAAAAAAGCUUUCUCUACCUCUCGGUUCUACUCUUGAUAGGUACUAGAUACAUAUUUUGCUGAUAACAAAAUAGUUUGUAUUUUUGUAUAGAUAUGAAUUGCUAUCAUAAUGACUUCAUCUGCAAUGAUAGGUAUGAGGGCCUGGUUCUCUCUGUUGGUGGCAAUGGAAGAUCUUAUGUAUUAAUUCUAGAAGCGGGUCCUUCCGCGGAUCUAAGUCAGAGUAAACUGUAUUUUGCAAGAUUUAGUACAAAAGUCGGAUUCUGCAGGGUAACAAGCAAUCUCUCUUGAGUGCCACUAUAGCUUAACCAUUCCAACUAAGACACUCUUGAAAUUUAUUAUUUUGUUACUACGGAUGACAGAUUUAUCUGUAUUACUAUGACAGGUUAGAGUGCCAUUUUCAUCAUUCCGUCCUGUACAACCAGAUGAUCCAGUUUUAGACCCUUUUCUUGUACAUACAUUAACAAUACGGUUUGAGCCUAGAAGACAGGUUAUGUCCAAUUCCUUAAUGUUUUCAAUUCUUUUACUUAAAGUUGACUUCUGUUUUUGGACCUUGCACUUGUCUUGUCUCUGUCAUUGUAAUAUAAAUAACAUUUUUAUAAUAUCUUUCCGCAACAACUUUCCCUUCUUUGAUUUAAAAAUAUCUGGAUAAUGGGUGAGAGACAAAAAGGCCCUAGUGAUGCAGAAAAAUCAUGAGAAUAAACCACUACAACAUCUCGCCGUGAAAAAAUGUCAUACGAUAAGAGAAGGUUAUUGAGUAUUCCAAUCCAAAUGGAAGGCUAAACAAGGAAGACAUUUCAAUGUUACUAUUAUUCUGUAUGAUCAUGAUGAACACCGUGGAAAAUAUAUUCAACUCAAAUGUACCUCAUAGUUCUUCCUAGAAUGAAUAACAAGGUUGUGAACUCGCCAUAGCCACAUGGUGCUGACUGGAGUAGAGGUGUCACUCAGACCCUUUGCCCAUGGGAUAGGUACUAGAUACAUAGUUACAAAGAAGUUGGUCAGCUACAUAUAGCUGAGCUGACCUUAACCUGCAUACCCCGAGAGUUAUCCCGCACUAACUGCUGUUCUUUGGUUUAACACAGUUCAGAAGAAAAAAAAUACAAAAGCGAUAUUUUUUUAAUGUAGUUGGUCUUAGAAAGAUUUAGAAAUUAAAUAGUUGGAUUAAAACGUGAUAUAUGAUAGCCAAUUUCAUUAUGAAGACAGUUCUCAUUAUGAUGUUUGAUCCAAUUUCAUGUAGGCACCUCAUUUAGUGGGAUAAUAAUUGAUUGUUGAUUGUUGUAAUUGGCCUUUUAAGUUUCACCGUCCAUUUUGAAUCGAAUGUUUAAAAUUAAAACCAUAAGUUAUCAAAAAUAGAUUGACAUUGUUCGUUAUUUACACUACAUAGCAGGAAUAGUGUGUUUACCCCAUCCUACAUGUACAAACAUGAAGCCUUGUAUUUGGUUUACAUGUUCUGAAACUUUGUCUACAUUAUCAAGACACAUAAAUUCUUUGAAAUUUUGGUAACAAAUAAAGAUCAUAGGGCUUGAUGGAUGUACAUGUAGGUUGAGAUAAACACGUCAUUCCAGCCAUAGUGUAAAUAACAAACAUAUUUUUUGUAACAUAAUUUCUUUAAAAGGUUCACAGUGUACACUUAAACAAAUUAAAAGGACAAACUUGUUACAAACAUAAAACUUAAUAUUUGGCCUAUUGUUGAAUAUAUUAUAUUAAAAGAUUAAAAAAUAUUAUUUAAUUAUCACUGGUAAGAUCAUGGUUGAAGCCCAGUUGAACAUUUGAGCCGGUGCCUUUAUCGGUUCAAUAACCGGCCCAGUUUUCCGAACAUUGGUAAAAGGGCCUCGUAAUUUACAAAACAGAAAAAUGUAGUUUUAGGACAUUCAAGGUGAAUGGUGCUUUUUUGUCUACUAACACCUUUUAAUUUCCUUACAACUAUCCCUUAAAUUUCUCAGUGGACUGUUAUGCUUAUUAGUAUUAGACUAACAGGAUUUUGGAUUCUAACAACUUACUAAUCCCAUCUAUUCUUCCCACCAUAAACCUGAUUUGCUCCGGACAUUCUAACAGGUCCUUCUUAGCAACCAACCAACCAAUAGGGAGGUUGUUAACUUUUUAUCCAGUACAUUUUUAUGAGUAUCAUCUCCUUUCAGGUUAAAUACGUUAUGAUCUUCUAAAUACAGGCAAUAAAUUAUGAAGAUCCCCUAUUUCCUUGCUUUUGUUUACACGACAUUUCCC
rnacentral:lncRNA from 1 species